rnacentral:rRNA from 1 species
AUUGAACGCUGGCGGAAUGCUUUACACAUGCAAGUCGAACGGCAGCACGGGGCAACCUGGUGGCGAGUGGCGAACGGGUGAGUAAUACAUCGGAACGUGCCCAGUCGUGGGGGAUAACGUAGCGAAAGUUACGCUAAUACCGCAUACGAUCUAUGGAUGAAAGCGGGGGAUCGCAAGACCUCGCGCGAUUGGAGCGGCCGAUGUCAGAUUAGGUAGUUGGUGGGGUAAAGGCCUACCAAGCCGACGAUCUGUAGCUGGUCUGAGAGGACGACCAGCCACACUGGGACUGAGACACGGCCCAGACUCCUACGGGAGGCAGCAGUGGGGGAUUUUGGACAAUGGGCGCAAGCCUGAUCCAGCCAUUCCGCGUGCAGGAUGAAGGCCUUCGGGUUGUAAACUGCUUUUGUACGGAACGAAAAGGCUCUGGUUAAUACCUGGGGCUCAUGACGGUACCGUAAGAAUAAGCACCGGCUAACUACGUGCCAGCAGCCGCCGUAACAC